rnacentral:rRNA from 1 species
AUGGGAUGCAUGCCGGCGUGUUUCAUUUUUCUUUUUGAGAAAGCCGGCGUGUUUGAUUUGGUCACAUCGUUUUUGUCUGUUUGCUGUUUUGCUUGUGGCCGGCUGCAUGGCCCCGUGGUUCGUGGGCCGGCUACUGCAUGUGCAUCUGCAUGUCGCCGCGGUGCCGCCCUUGCCUCACGUCUAGAAACCAAUUUUCUGGAUCGUUCUAUCCUUGAGGUUGAUUUGCUUUACGUCUCUUGUUCCUCGGAGACGCUAUAUAGGUGGCUCUCCUCAUUGGUUUUCUUUGCCUUACGGACUGCUGCCAUGGUUCGUCCUGCCUCUGCCCGGAGCCGGAGAGCGACCUGGGUCACCCAGGCCGCCAUCCUGGGGUUCGAGCAGCCGUCAUUAAUUGGGGGUUGGGUCUACAUCUCUAUAAUGAUUCGUCUGCCGAUGGUUUGUAUAUUCAGGCGGACACAACCUCGGCGCCCCGGCUACAACGAAAGCGGCUGUGGCGGGGGUGGAACGGACGAUGCUCCUGCUGCGCGUGGAGGUGGCUCAUGCAUCUGGUGCGCCUGUAGGGGCGGCGGUAUUGAACUCUUGAUGGUGCACAUGGCAUACGUCGUGAGGCGAAGCAGCCUGGGGGCGAGAGGUCGCCCGCUCAAUGGUGCCUGCGUGGCUGCGUGCAGGUUUCCUGUGAUCCGUCUUGGGUGCUGGAGCUAUCACGCCGCCGCCACUCUAGUCGUUGCCUCCGGCCGUUGCGAAGCUCCGCUCCUCGCAAGUCCUGCGGAGACAACUGUUGUCUCGCGGCUCUCGCCCCGUUUACCUGUCGGAGCCGAUCCGGAAUCUCCGCUGCUUCCCGGGGUCGCCGUCGUGGCCGUGCCGCCGUGUGCUCCACGGCCUGGAGUAUGCCGUCGUCACGGACUCAAACGACCAUUGCCCGGGCGAUUCUUUGCUGUUCGCGGCGUGGUCGGUCGCCGCGACACUCAACUUUGCGGAUUCGACGUCCGGUGUCCGCUAUCGGGCUCUACGCCGGCGACCAUGAGGCGGCGGGGCAUUCGCCGGGCCCUGGGCAUGCUGGCGCACGCGUUCUCGCCGACUAAUGGGCGAUUCUACCUGAACGCAUUGGAGGCGUGGGUGCUCAGCGGCUUCGUGUUGCGCGCGUUGCUGGACGCGGCCGUCGAUUAG